UCGGGAAUUUUGGGCAAUGGGCGAAAGCCUGACCCAGCAACGCCGCGUGAAGGAUGAAGUAUUUCGGUAUGUAAACUUCGAAAGAAUAGGAAGAAUAAAUGACGGUACUAUUUAUAAGGUCCGGCUAACUACGUGCCAGCAGCCGCGGUAAUACGUAGGGACCAAGCGUUGUUCGGAUUUACUGGGCGUAAAGGGCGCGUAGGCGGCAAUUCAAGUCAUCUGUGAAACCUCCGGGCUUAACUCGGAACGGUCAGAUGAUACUGCUUUGCUAGAGUGCAGAAGGGGCAAUCGGAAUUCUUGGUGUAGCGGUGAAAUGCGUAGAUAUCAAGAGGAACACCUGAGGUGAAGACGGGUUGCUGGGCUGACACUGACGCUGAGGCGCGAAAGCCAGGGGAGCAAACGGGAUUAGAUACCCAUGUAGUCCCUGAGCGGGCUGGCAAGGCGCAU
rnacentral:rRNA from 1 species